rnacentral:rRNA from 1 species
ACGAACGCUGGCGGCGUGGAUAAGACAUGCAAGUCGAACGCUGAUUUCAGGGUAGCAAUAUUCUGGAGUCGGAGUGGCGCAAGGGUGCGCAACACGUGGGUAAUUUGCCAUGAAGCCCGGAAUAACUCGCUGAAAGGCGAGCUAAUACCGGAUGUGAUCUUCGGGAGGCAUCUCCUGAACCUUAAAGCUGGGGACCGUAAGGCCUGGCACUUCUUGAUAAGCCCGCGGCCUAUCAGCUAGUUGGUGAGGUAACGGCUCACCAAGGCUAAGACGGGUAGCUGGUCUGAGAGGACGACCAGUCACACUGGAACUGAGACACGGUCCAGACACCUACGGGUGGCAGCAGUCGAGAAUUUUUCUCAAUGGGCGAAAGCCUGAAGGAGCGACGCCGCGU